rnacentral:rRNA from 1 species
UACGGGGGGGGCAAGCGUUGUUCGGAAUUACUGGGCGUAAAGGGCUCGUAGGCGGCCAACUAAGUCAGACGUGAAAUCCCCAGGCUUAACCUGGGAACUGCGUCUGAUACUGGAUGGCUUGAGUUUGGGAGAGGGAUGCGGAAUUCCAGGUGUAGCGGUGAAAUGCGUAGAUAUCUGGAGGAACACCGGUGGCGAAGGCGGCAUCCUGGACCAAUACUGACGCUGAGGAGCGAAAGCCAGGGGAGCAAACGGG